GGUUGGAAAGAGAUUUGUCUACUUAAUUUGCUGCUAAUCGGCGUGAUCUAAUCCAAGCGAAUGGAACGGAAUGCUAAUAUGCUAUCCAUCUUCCUCUCACGAGAGAGAGAGAGAAAGUUUCUGGUUGAGUUCCAGAUUCACUACCAUAUCCCAGGUGUCUGAUUGAUCUUCUCAGAUAAGAGUUCCCCUCUACUAUGAUCUGCAUUAUCUUUGUGUUUUAUCGAAGGCUUUCGAGGGUGAUCUGCAGUCUCCUCUACGAUAUUGUAUACCCGAUGUAUAGGCAUCAUAUGUGUAAUGUCUUUUUUUAAAACAGUACAAUUGCAAGUAUUCAUACACACGCGUAUAUACUCAUCCGGCUUUACAAAGA
rnacentral:lncRNA from 1 species